UUCUUCUCUCUUCUCUUUCCACCUCCCCUAAUUGUUUUCCUAAGCCGGCAGACGCCCUGACCUAGUCAUCGCCUCUUCCUUCAGAUUGUCGCAACUCGCAAGCCGCCGUCGCCGCUUCCAGACCGCCACCACCUCCAGACAUCAAUCGCCAUUUUCCCAGUUCGCCACACAGCUUCGUUCGUUCGUCGCAAGCAGCCAUCGCCACCUCCGGCGCCUUCCCCUUCGCAGCACGCAAUGUUAGCUUCUCUAGAUAAAUCAGAAAGUCAUGGAAAUUGCAGCAAAGAGCUGAUGAAAGCUUCAGAAAAGCUUUGUAAAGUCUUAACUGAAGCAGAUAUACGUUUAUUAGUAGACAACAUUGAACAAAAAAGCGGUGCUGAAAUGGCUGAGAAGGAGACAAAGAGCGAUGGCAUGGCUGAGACAAAAGUUUCACCAAGCUCGAAGCAGGAAGCUUAAACAAAAGUUUUCUUAUCUUAUUACCACUUUAUUUGACUGUGACUGUUGAGAAGUUUACACAUGUGAAGCUAUUAGACCAUGUUGCCCUUUCAUGAAGGAUCCGGAGUUGGAUUAUGAGAUCGACAGUGAUGAGGAGUGGGAAGAUGAGGAACCUGGUGAAUGCCUAUCAGAUUGUGAUAAAGAUGAAGUUGAAAGUUUAGACGAAGAAUGUGCUAGAGGUGAUGGUGAAGAAAGUGAAGAUGGCUUUUUUGUCCAGAUAGUUAUCUCUCCGAGGAUGGGGGGGUUCAAGUUGACAAAACUGGAUCUGAUGGCAUGGCUGAGACAAAAGUUUCAAAAGUGACAAAUAUGCUAAUAGUAGAUGUCACCCUCUCCUUGCUCUGUUACAAAUAUUGAUAGAUCAUUUGAUGAAUUAAGCCGGGAAAUUGUAUGUCUUAAGAUUAUACUAAAACAUUUUGGGGUUUUAUUGGCAGCCAACAGACAGAGGCCUGUGAUUAUGAAGCUGGAAGUGAGAUGAUAGUUGACAAGCAGGGGUUUGACUGUUUGAGCGCACCACUGUUCUUGCAAGACUUGAGGAAAGUUUAUAUUAGAACUUCAGCUUAUUUUAUGCCGAAUUUAUUAUACUAUAUAUUCCUUAAUUUUGAGUCUUUAGUGAAUUGUUUUCUUAUAAUAUAUAGCACUUGAAGGACAUAUAAUCCUAUUUGGAAAAUUAAUACGGAGUAGUAUUUUUCUUAUUGUGUUUAUGCAAGCUUCUAAAUUCAUGUUUUGUUGGUUUUUAGUUUUUACAGCUUAUAUAGCUUUUAUACUCCUAUUUUACCUUUACCUUUGUACUGCUAUUAAUAAGAUAAAUUUGGCAAGAUUUUAAUUUCUUGUACAAUGUUUCUUACUUGGCAGGGAAUUAUUGCAUAUCUAGAAGUAAUCAUCAAAUUAGCCUUCUCCCCAAGACAAAGGACUUCUAAAGUGCCGGUCUCAAUAGUUUUGAUAAACAUGAGCGUUAUUAUCUAUCUUUAUAUAGAAUUGUAUAUAUUUCCGUGUUAGUCUGACCUUAUUUAAGAAUCAUUUGUAUCACAUUACAUCCUUGUAAUUCUAUAUUAUACUAUGAAAAA